UGACAUUCAGCUAGCCGGAAACUACACGAACCGCUGAUCCGAUUUUGUAAAAGCCUUUUAUUUUUCAAGUUAUUGAUAGAAAACAAAACAACCUAAAACCACUCUCGAAAAAUGCUACCCCAAAUAAAUAUAGGUUGUUUUGCCCCUCGGGAGUCCUAUGUGCAUUCGAGUCAAACGUGCACAUAGAACCGUAGCAAAUCAACCUAUGUGCCAUCUAUAUAAUUUUAUAGUCAUGAUGCAUAUACGCCUAAUAUACGCCCAUAUCAAAAUGACCUAUGUACAUGGUUAUUUUGCUAAUUAAAAAAUAUGUAUAGGUCGUUUUUUUUAUGAAACCCUAAAACAAAAAUAUUUUGCAAACUUCAAGUUCACCCAAUCCUCACGCAACGUGUAGGCAACAGCUGAUUGAGAGCAUGAAAUGUUUCAAUGCUUCCAGCGUGAGAGAGAGAAACCGUUAGGAGAGAAAAACACCCAACCCGCGCUCUCGUAAACAUCUGUCGGAUAGGUGCUUGCAAUUUAACUUACACGACAAUGUAAACAUUAUUUGCCUGAGUCGGAUAGGACUUUUAAUAUUUUCUACGAUUAUUUACCAUUAUUUUUACGAUUAUUUACCAAAGUAGUGCUAGAAUCUUGUUGUAGGCUGAUAAACUAGAGUUCAGAAUCUGGUGAACUGGUUUUGAGGACAAAUCAGCAACGGCGAGAACAGAGAAACGAUAACUCUCCAAGCUGGGGACUUCCAAGGACUGGGAACAGCCGUUGGUGUCCUGAAGGCGGUUCGUUGUGGCUUUCCGCAAUGCGUCCAGUGGGUGGAGGACGCCAACCAGCUGAGGAGGGAGGCAUUCGGUGUUAGCCAGCGGCUCAAGCGGUGAAUUGUGCAAGAGAUUGCCAACGGGUACGGAGUUUAUCCGCCGCACUGCAAGAAAAAGUAAACCAUCCUGCCCGAUCCGGUGUUGCUGGACGUGGAGAAGCGCACCCCGGCAAAGCGAACGGCCGAGGGCAAACCAAAGAAAAGGGAGAUUUAAGAUUUUGCUGUUUCCUGUUUAAUUUUCACGAUAUUUGAUUAUUUAGGUGGAUGGUUCCCGUGGAAGUUAAAAAAUACCACUUUUUAGUUUUCUGUUCUGAUUUUAAAUAAAAAUUUGAAGAUUUUGCUCCAAUUUAAAUAAUGUUUGGCUUCUUGAUUUUUAUUUUUUGAAAAGUGAGAUGAAAUCCUCAAAAAAUAUUUUGAGCUGGGCAAAAUGUCACAGAAAUUUUAAGUUAUUUCAAUCAUUCUGGCUGGACAAGAUAAUUAAAUGUUGCUUUGGUAUGAAAUUCAAUAAAAUAUAAAAAGAUAAAAUAUAAGCAAAUCAGCGAUAACUUUUUAGCUAUAUUAGAAAAAAUUACU